rnacentral:rRNA from 1 species
CACGGGGGGCCUACGGGAGGCAGCAGGCGCGCAAAUUACCCACUCCCGACUCGGGGAGGUAGUGACGAAAAAUAACAAUACAGGACUCUUUCGAGGCCCUNUNAUGGAAUGAG